AGCAGAGCUGCUGUUUCGGCGCGGGUCGGCUGGCGGCCGACUGCCCCAGAGCCCCCACCCGGCACCACACAGACCCCACCCCCGCCCUGCGCCAGCCUUCGUCCCCGCAGAGGACCCCCCGACACCAGCAUGGACUGCUGCACCGAGAACGCCUGCUCCAAGCCGGACGACGACAUUCUAGACAUCCCGCUGGACGAUCCCGGCGCCAACGCGGCCGCCGCCAAAAUCCAGGCGAGUUUUCGGGGCCACAUGGCGCGGAAGAAGAUAAAGAGCGGAGAGCGCGGCCGGAAGGGCCCGGGCCCUGGGGGGCCUGGCGGAGCUGGGGUGGCCCGGGGAGGCGCGGGCGGCGGCCCCAGCGGAGACUAGAAGAACUGAGCAUUUUCAAAGUUCCCGAGGAGAGAUGGAUGCCGCGUCCCCUUCGCAGCGACGAGACUUCCCUGCCGUGUUUGUGACCCCCUCCUGCCCAGCAACCUGCCAGCUACAGGAGCCCCCUGCGUCCCAGAGACUCCCUCACCCAGGCAGGCUCCGUCGCGGAGUCGCUGAGUCCGUGCCCUUUUAGUUAGUUCUGCAGUCUAGUAUGGUCCCCAUUUGCCCUUCCACUCCACCCCACCCUAAACCAUGCGCUCCCAAUCUUCCUUCUUUUGCUUCUCGCCCACCUCUUCCCGCACCCAGCAUGCAGCUCUGCCUCCGCAGCCUCAGUGCGCUUUCCUGCGCGCACUGCGGAGGGCGCCCUAAGCGUCACCCAAGCACACUCACU
rnacentral:lncRNA from 1 species